rnacentral:rRNA from 1 species
GAUUAAGUUAUUAAGGGCGCACGGUGGAUGCCUUGGCACUAGAAGCCGAUGAAGGACGUUACUAACGACGAUAUGCUUUGGGGAGCUGUAAGUAAGCUUUGAUCCAGAGAUUUCCGAAUGGGGAAACCCAGCAUGAGUUAUGUCAUGUUAUCGAUAUGUGAAUACAUAGCAUAUCAGAAGGCACACCCGGAGAACUGAAACAUCUUAGUACCCGGAGGAAGAGAAAGAAAAUUCGAUUCCCUUAGUAGCGGCGAGCGAAACGGGAAGAGCCCAAACCAACAAGCUUGCUUGUUGGGGUUGUAGGACACUCUAUACGGAGUUACAAAGGACGACAUUAGACGAAUCAUCUGGAAAGAUGAAUCAAAGAAGGUAAUAAUCCUGUAGUCGAAAAUGUUGUCUCUCUUGAGUGGAUCCUGAGUACGACGGAGCACGUGAAAUUCCGUCGGAAUCUGGGAGGACCAUCUCCUAAGGCUAAAUACUCUCUAGUGACCGAUAGUGAACCAGUACCGUGAGGGAAAGGUGAAAAGCACCCCGGAAGGGGAGUGAAAUAGAACCUGAAACCGUGUGCUUACAAGUAGUCAGAGCCCGUUAAUGGGUGAUGGCGUGCCUUUUGUAGAAUGAACCGGCGAGUUACGAUUUGAUGCAAGGUUAAGCAGUAAAUGUGGAGCCGUAGCGAAAGCGAGUCUGAAUAGGGCGUUUAGUAUUUGGUCGUAGACCCGAAACCAGGUGAUCUACCCUUGGUCAGGUUGAAGUUCAGGUAACACUGAAUGGAGGACCGAACCGACUUACGUUGAAAAGUGAGCGGAUGAACUGAGGGUAGCGGAGAAAUUCCAAUCGAACCUGGAGAUAGCUGGUUCUCUCCGAAAUAGCUUUAGGGCUAGCCUCAAGUGAUGAUUAUUGGAGGUAGAGCACUGUUUGGACGAGGGGCCCCUCUCGGGUUACCGAAUUCAGACAAACUCCGAAUGCCAAUUAAUUUAACUUGGGAGUCAGAACAUGGGUGAUAAGGUCCGUGUUCGAAAGGGAAACAGCCCAGACCACCAGCUAAGGUCCCAAAAUAUAUGUUAAGUGGAAAAGGAUGUGGCGUUGCCCAGACAACUAGGAUGUUGGCUUAGAAGCAGCCAUCAUUUAAAGAGUGCGUAAUAGCUCACUAGUCGAGUGACACUGCGCCGAAAAUGUACCGGGGCUAAACAUAUUACCGAAGCUGUGGAUUGUCCUUUGGACAAUGGUAGGAGAGCGUUCUAAGGGCGUUGAAGCAUGAUCGUAAGGACAUGUGGAGCGCUUAGAAGUGAGAAUGCCGGUGUGAGUAGCGAAAGACGGGUGAGAAUCCCGUCCACCGAUUGACUAAGGUUUCCAGAGGAAGGCUCGUCCGCUCUGGGUUAGUCGGGUCCUAAGCUGAGGCCGACAGGCGUAGGCGAUGGAUAACAGGUUGAUAUUCCUGUACCACCUAUAAUCGUUUUAAUCGAUGGGGGGACGCAGUAGGAUAGGCGAAGCGUGCGAUUGGAUUGCACGUCUAAGCAGUAAGGCUGAGUAUUAGGCAAAUCCGGUACUCGUUAAGGCUGAGCUGUGAUGGGGAGAAGACAUUGUGUCUUCGAGUCGUUGAUUUCACACUGCCGAGAAAAGCCUCUAGAUAGAAAAUAGGUGCCCGUACCGCAAACCGACACAGGUAGUCAAGAUGAGAAUUCUAAGGUGAGCGAGCGAACUCUCGUUAAGGAACUCGGCAAAAUGACCCCGUAACUUCGGGAGAAGGGGUGCUCUUUAGGGUUAACGCCCAGAAGAGCCGCAGUGAAUAGGCCCAAGCGACUGUUUAUCAAAAACACAGGUCUCUGCUAAACCGUAAGGUGAUGUAUAGGGGCUGACGCCUGCCCGGUGCUGGAAGGUUAAGAGGAGUGGUUAGCUUCUGCGAAGCUACGAAUCGAAGCCCCAGUAAACGGCGGCCGUAACUAUAACGGUCCUAAGGUAGCGAAAUUCCUUGUCGGGUAAGUUCCGACCCGCACGAAAGGCGUAACGAUUUGGGCACUGUCUCAACGAGAGACUCGGUGAAAUCAUAGUACCUGUGAAGAUGCAGGUUACCCGCGACAGGACGGAAAGACCCCGUGGAGCUUUACUGUAGCCUGAUAUUGAAAUUCGGCACAGCUUGUACAGGAUAGGUAGGAGCCUUUGAAACGUGAGCGCUAGCUUACGUGGAGGCGCUGGUGGGAUACUACCCUAGCUGUGUUGGCUUUCUAACCCGCACCACUUAUCGUGGUGGGAGACAGUGUCAGGCGGGCAGUUUGACUGGGGCGGUCGCCUCCUAAAAGGUAACGGAGGCGCUCAAAGGUUCCCUCAGAAUGGUUGGAAAUCAUUCAUAGAGUGUAAAGGCAUAAGGGAGCUUGACUGCGAGACCUACAAGUCGAGCAGGGUCGAAAGACGGACUUAGUGAUCCGGUGGUUCCGCAUGGAAGGGCCAUCGCUCAACGGAUAAAAGCUACCCCGGGGAUAACAGGCUUAUCUCCCCCAAGAGUUCACAUCGACGGGGAGGUUUGGCACCUCGAUGUCGGCUCAUCGCAUCCUGGGGCUGUAGUCGGUCCCAAGGGUUGGGCUGUUCGCCCAUUAAAGCGGUACGCGAGCUGGGUUCAGAACGUCGUGAGACAGUUCGGUCCCUAUCCGUCGUGGGCGUAGGAAAUUUGAGAGGAGCUGUCCUUAGUACGAGAGGACCGGGAUGGACAUACCUCUGGUGUACCAGUUGUCGUGCCAGCGGCAUAGCUGGGUAGCUAUGUGUGGACGGGAUAAGUGCUGAAAGCAUCUAAGCAUGAAGCCCCCCUCAAGAUGAGAUUUCCCAACUUCGGUUAUAAGAUCCCUCAAAGAUGAUGAGGUUAAUAGGUUCGAGGUGGAAGCAUGGUGACAUGUGGAGCUGACGAAUACUAAUCGAUCGAAGACUUAAUCAA